rnacentral:rRNA from 1 species
UACAGAGGUCUCAAGCGUUGUUCGGAUUCAUUGGGCGUAAAGGGUGCGUAGGCGGCGCCGUAAGUCGGGUGUGAAAUUUCGGAGCUUAACUCCGAAACUGCAUUCGAUACUGCGGUGCUUGAGGACUGGAGAGGAGACUGGAAUUCAUGGUGUAGCAGUGAAAUGCGUAGAGAUCAUGAGGAAGACCAGUGGCGAAGGCAGGUCUCUGGACAGUUCCUGACACUGAGGCACGAAGGCCAGGGGAGCAAACGGG